AAAGUUGUUGAAAAUUCCAGUUGAGAGGUGUAACCAGUUUGUGGGUUACAGGAAGUGAUUGUCUGCAGUUAUUUUUUCCAAAGGGCAACCAAAAAUUAAGUUGAGGUUGCCAAUAAUUUUGUCCAGACCAGUUUUUGAGUUUUUUGAGAAAAGCUGUCAAAUGUGGCUUUUUUCUGCUUUUUUGUGUUGAUAAAGGACAAAAACAUAUGUACACCAAGACAUUUGUAAUUGUAAAAAUUUUCUGGAAAAAUUCCAGCCAUAGCUGUACAUCUAUACUCGAGCACUCAAAAGAUUUAUACGAUGUGUUUCAUUCCCCCAUCCUAGUGUUUUCUAACUAAGAUUCACAUGUUGACAAAGAUGAAGAGAGAAACUUGUGAUCCAGUAUCUUGCCCAAGGAUACCUUGGCUCAUUUCUAAUACAUCUCCUUAAAAUGUCUGUAAAAAUACAACAAAUGGACUCAGACAGAUCUGAAGAGGUUUAGAUUCAUGUCUGCCUCUUACUGUGUAUAAUAUUAAUGUAAACCAGUACAAACAGGACAGGCUGUUGUUGCAGAGUCCUACCUGAGCCCCACAGCAGCAGCAGAACCAGCAGCAGGUGAUCCAUGUCAGGUCCGCGUCCGUCUCCUCUCGGUCUGUCCGACUCUUCAGCUCUCUGCUAAUAAACUGCUGUUUCCUCUUCAUCUGUUAUCUACUUAUCAGCCAACUGAUGAGCAGCUUCUCACAACUGAAACGCCACAGAUUAAAGAUCAGCUGGCCCUCGGGUGAGUAGAUUUCAUCAUGCCAGACUCUGAGAUGUUGACUCAACUGUAACGAUGUGAAGUGUUCGGGGUCCGAUGUUCUGACCCAGGCUGUGUCGAGCUCGGUUUAACAAUCACAUCAGGGGCGACACAUAUAUGCUUCAACCGCACAGCUGCUUCACACACCUGAACGUGACGUUUAAUGACACACAGCACGUCCUCAUUAAAGCUAAACAACCACACUUCUAUUUCCUUUUUGUACAUGUUCCUCCAAGUCUCACACAGCCUGCUUCACAGAUCCGAGUAUGAAAACUCACCUAUGUGGGAAAUUGUUUAAUAAACAAUGUAUUUCAAAGGUUGUUGUUAAUGUAUCUUAAUGCAUGCUCAAUCAUCCAGGUAAAUCACCCGAGGAGAAAGACAGAUUCUUGCAAAAUGGUUGAACUUUGCAGUGACGCUGAGACAAAUCCCACUAGUGGAACUGAUCACAGCCACAGAAACAGCAGUUCGAAACAACAACACUGCUGAUGAAAGUUUCGGCCUGUCUCAGCAAUGCAAAGCCCCCAGCAUCCAACAUCAGCAUGGAGGAGAGGAAGGCUCUCACAUCACUUAGUAAUGAAACAGCAUUAUCAUCCUUCCAGCAGACAAGGGUAGGUGCACAGCUCUGCUAAACCAGAAAGACUAUCAUGAGAAAAUGCUGUCACUGCUCAGUGACGAAAAUACUUAUGAGCCCCUGAAACGAGACCCAGGAAGUGGCUACAGGAAGAGGGUGAUAGACUGUCUGAAGCAGUUAGAACAAGACAAGGCUAUCGACCGGACCUCAUACCACAGGCUGUACCCAGGGGAGUCUACACCAAGCCUGUAUGGUUUACCGAAGAUACAUAAACAGGGUGCACCUUUAAGACCAAUUGUCUGCAUGAUCAACUCUGUCACCUAUAACAUCUCCAAGUGUCUGGCUUCGAUCUUCAACCUGCUGGUAGGCAGCUCUGAACACCACAUCCAGCACCGACCAAGUGUGUUUGAACUGUGUCUUCAUUCCACCUACUUCACAUACAAGGGUCAAGAACAGCACAUCAAGAAGGCCCUGAGUAAAUGUGGUUAUCCCAGCUGGACUUUUGUCAAAGCUGGGAAGGCACCUAAAGAAAGCUCCAGCUGAUCCAGGAGAGAAGGACAACCGCUGCCUGAGCGAAAACCUGUAGUGAUCCCAUAUGUGUCAGGAGUAUCGGAGCAGUUGAGACGCAUUUUUUCUAAACACCGGGUCUCUGUGGCUUUUAAACCCCAAAACACGUUGCGCCAAAAACUGGUCCACCCCAAGGAUCGGGUCCCCCGACACAAACAGAGUAACAUAGUGUACGCUGUUAAGUACCAGGAUUUAUACAUCGGGGAAACCAAACAACCUCUGGCUACAACACAGAAGAACCACCUCGUCAGCCCAGGACUCUGCAGUCUAUUUAGACCUGACAGUGUUUUAAUAGUUUUUAUUAACUCUGCUGAUAAUUUUUAUGUGUUUGUAUAUUUCUGUUUUCUUCUGUCUGAACUUCAAUUUUCUUCCUGUUUGAGUUUGUGAUGGUCCGCAGCUUGGCGUCUGAGGAGCGUUUGGAAUGCCCAGAUGGCCACACCUUCGGGUGGGGCUGUCAUCUCCACACCUGCAUCCCAUUCCAGGCGAUCAUCAGGAGGACGAUUUAACCCCGCACGGCCGGCUGCUUAACACCAGUCCAUCAGUCGCCAUUCAGUGGUUAUUGUCCGGCGUGUUUGUACCUUCACCUGCCUGUCCUCCUGUCCGCCUGGAUUUCAGAGAAACGGCCUAUCAUCCUCUCCUGCGGACACUCACCCCUCCCUCCGGUUUCCACGGUGCGGCCCCGAUUGUAAGAUAAAUAGUUCUACCCCUGGUGUAUGCCGUUAUCUCCCUGCUCUCCAGUAACUCUCUCCCCUUUCUGUUGCAGCCUCCCACGAUCCCGUUCACGCCGUCCCCGUGUCGUUUAUUUUCCGGUCUCUUCUGUUCAGCGCU
ensembl:lncRNA